GAGGUGGGACUUCCGCUACCUUGGUAAUGCUUCGCCUCGGAGAUGAUGGAGGAGAAGAGGGGGCAAGGCGAAUCUUUUUGUUGUCUCUUGGCGUUUUGGAUGGCGUUAGUCGUUGCCUCUUUUCACUUGACGUUUCCGACGAUGAGGAGGCAGUGGAUGGCUCGUUACUUUCGGCUUCUUGCCAUUGUUUGUACAGAGGAAAAUCCCGUUCCAAACGUGUGGAUGCGGCUAAUAUCUGACCAUGGUGAAAUCGUGUGCUGCCAUCUCCUGCACCAAUCGAUUUGUAAUAUUUCCUUUCAUAAGUUUCCCAAGCAAUCCAAGGACAGCACACUGAGAGAGCAAUGGAUACAGGCCAUCAGUAGAGAAACGGUGGGGACCAAGAGGAGAUGGAUCAUAAAAUUUGGUGAAAAUCUGUCCAUGACUUUUUGAGUUAUGCUGUUAACAGACACACACAGACGGACAGACAGACAAACGGCAUGGCGGAGGUAUGCGCUCUCCGAGUGCUUUUCUAGUUCUAUCUGUCAAGUGCACUUGACUGCUUGACUGCACUUGUACUGCACAAAGAAACUGCGCUGGCCUUUAUAGAUCAUCUGCGUUUGGUUGAGCAGCCUUCUCAUAUAAAUUUAUCAAACACUGGAACAACCUCCCAGUUAGCUUGAAGACAUCUGUAGAUCUACACACUUUCUCAAAAAAAUUUAAAAACACAUUCUCAAUAAUCAGACAUGUCAGCACUAGUCCAUAGUAAAGUGUUUCUCUUUUAUUUAGUAACGUAAUGUUUUGAUUUUAUUGUUGUUGCUACUUUUAUAUAUUUUGAUAAUUUUAUCUUGAAUUAGUUAUAUAUAAAUGUAUGUUUAAUUCUGAUGUAUUUUAUUGAUGAGCUAAGGUUAAUUUUUUAAAUUUGUUUAAUAUACAUUAUAUAUGUUGUAUCUGCCCAGGGACUGCAGAUGGAAAUUAGCAAACAGCUAUAAUCUGGUGCAAAGCAUCUUUUCUUUUUAAGAUGAAUGUGUUUGUACAUUGUCCCUGUUAACUAAACUAAUAAACUAAACUUGAUACCCUGUAAAUAUUUUAUUGGAACACGGAUAUUUGCAACUGAACCUACAAGUGGUAUAGCUAUUGUAAUGCAAUUUAGCAACACAAACUUUUGUCUAGGUGGUGUAUUUUAUAUUUUUGGUAACAAGUUGGAGCAGUAUUCCAUUGUAAAAAUAAAGAAAUAAUUUCAAUGGU